GAGUUUGAUCAUGGCUCAGGAUGAACGCUAGCUACAGGCUUAACACAUGCAAGGUCAGGGGCAGCGAGAAGAAGCUUGCUUUCUUGUCGGCGACCGGCGCACGGGUGAGUAACGCGUAUCCAACCUUCCCUAUAGUAGAGAAUAGCCCGGCGAAAGUCGGAUUUAAUGCUCUAUGUUGUAUUUUUGCGGACAUCUAACGAAUACCAAAGGUUUUACCGCUAUAGGGAUGGGGAUGCGUCUGAUUAGGUUGUCGGCGGGGUAACGGCCCACCAAGCCGUCGAUCAGUAGGGGUUCUGAGAGGAAGGUCCCCCACAUUGGAACUGAGACACGGUCCAAACUCCUACGGGAGGCAGCAGUGAGGAAUAUUGGUCAAUGGACGGAAGUCUGAACCAGCCAAGUAAGCGUGCAGGAUGACGGCCCUAUGGGUUGUAAACUGCUUUUAUCAGGGGAUAAAGUCGGGGACGUGUCCCCGUUUGUAGGUACCUGAUGAAUAAGGACCGGCUAAUUCCGUGCCAGCCGCGGC
rnacentral:rRNA from 1 species